rnacentral:rRNA from 1 species
AGAUUGAACGCUGGCGGCAGGCCUAACACAUGCAAGUCGAGCGGCAGCGGGAAGUAGUUUACUACUUUGCCGGCGAGCGGCGGACGGGUGAGUAAUGUCUGGGGAUCUGCCUGAUGGAGGGGGAUAACUACUGGAAACGGUAGCUAAUACCGCGUGACCUCGCAAGAGCAAAGUGGGGGACCUUAGGGCCUCACGCCAUCGGAUGAACCCAGAUGGGAUUAGCUAGUAGGUGGGGUAAUGGCUCACCUAGGCGACGAUCCCUAGCUGGUCUGAGAGGAUGACCAGCCACACUGGAACUGAGACACGGUCCAGACUCCUACGGGAGGCAGCAGUGGGGAAUAUUGCACAAUGGGCGCAAGCCUGAUGCAGCCAUGCCGCGUGUGUGAAGAAGGCCUUCGGGUUGUAAAGCACUUUCAGCGAGGAGGAAGGGGUUGAGUUUAAUACGCUCAAUCAUUGACGUUACUCGCAGAAGAAGCACCGGCUAACUCCGUGCCAGCAGCCGCGGUAAUACGGAGGGUGCAAGCGUUAAUCG